GGGGUUGUGGCUCAAGUGGUAGAGUGCUCUCCUAGCACAUGUGAGGCACUGGGUUCGAUCCUCAGCACCACG
rnacentral:tRNA from 1 species